rnacentral:rRNA from 1 species
AACGAACGCUGGCGGCGUGCCUAACACAUGCAAGUCGAGCGCGAAAGCAGCAAUGCAAGUAGAGCGGCGCACGGGUGCGUAACACGUGGGUAAUCUUCCGUAAAGCCUGGGAUAACCUUCCGAAAGGUUGGCUAAUACCAGAUAAGCUCACGGUGUCUUCGGACGCUGAGAGAAAAGGUGGCCACUGUUUACAAGCUAUCACUUUACGAUGAGCCCGCGGCCCAUCAGCUAGUUGGUGAGGUAACGGCUCACCAAGGCAACGACGGGUAGCUGGUCUGAGAGGACGAUCAGCCACACUGGAACUGAGACACGGUCCAGACUCCUACGGGAGGCAGCAGUGGGGAAUUUUGCACAAUGGGCGAAAGCCUGAUGCAGCAACGCCGCGUGUGUGAUGAAGGUCUUAGGAUUGUAAAGCACUUUCGAUCGGGACGAAAACCUAGCAGACUAACAACCUUGCAGCUUGACUGUACCGAGAGAAGAAGA